UAGUCGUUGUAGUAUAGUGGUAAGUAUUCUGCCAGUCACGCGGCUGACCCGGGUUCGAUCCCCGGCAAUUUAG